AUUGAACGCUGGCGGCAUGCUUUACACAUGCAAGUCGAACGGCAGCGCGGGGCAACCUGGCGGCGAGUGGCGAACGGGUGAGUAAUACAUUGGAACGUACCCAGAAGUGGGGGAUAACGUAGCGAAAGUUACGCUAAUACCGCAUACGUUCUACGGAAGACAGUGGGGGACCUUCGGGCCUCAUGCUUUUGGAGCGGCCGAUGUCUGAUUAGCUAGUUGGUAGGGUAAAGGCCUACCAAGGCGACGAUCAGUAGCUGGUCUGAGAGGACGACCAGCCACACUGGGACUGAGACACGGCCCAGACUCCUACGGGAGGCAGCAGUGGGGAAUUUUGGACAAGGGGUGCAAGCCUGAUCCAGCAAUGCCGCGUGAGUGAAGAAGGCCUUCGGGUUGUAAAGCUCUUUUGUCAGGGAAGAAACGGCUGAGGAUAAUACCUUCGGCUAAUGACGGUACCUGAAGAAUAAGCACCGGCUAACUACGUGCCAGCAGCCGCCGUAAUAC
rnacentral:rRNA from 1 species